GCACAAGCGGCGGAGCAUGUGGAUUAAUUCGAUGCAACGCGAAGAACCUUACCUGGGUUUGACAUAUACCGGAAAGCUGCAGAGAUGUGGCCCCCCUUGUGGUCGGUAUACAGGUGGUGCAUGGCUGUCGUCAGCUCGUGUCGUGAGAUGUUGGGUUAAGUCCCGCAACGAGCGCAACCCUAUCUUAUGUUGCCAGCACGUUAUGGUGGGGACUCGUAAGAGACUGCCGGGGUCAACUCGGAGGAAGGUGGGGACGACGUCAAGUCAUCAUGCCCCUUAUGUCCAGGGCUUCACACAUGCUACAAUGGCCAGUACAGAGGGCUGCGAGACCGUGAGGUGGAGCGAGUCCCUUAAAGCUGGUCUCAGUUCGGAUCGGGGUCUGCAACUCGACCCCGUGAAGUCGGAGUCGCUAGUAAUCGCAGAUCAGCAACGCUGCGGUGAAUACGUUCCCGGGCCUU
rnacentral:rRNA from 1 species